UACGUAGGGGGCAAGCGUUAUCCGGAAUUACUGGGCGUAAAGCGCACGCAGGCGGUUCGGCAAGUUUGGAGUGACAGUUGUCGGCUCAACCGACAAAGGACUUCAAAAACUGGUGAACUUGAGGACGAGAGAGGAACAUGGAACUCCAGGUGUAGUAGUGAAAUGCGUAGAUAUCUGGAAGAACACCAAUGGCGAAGGCAAUGUUCUGGCUCGUUUCUGACGCUCAGGUGCGAAAGCCAGGGGAGCGAACGGG
rnacentral:rRNA from 1 species